rnacentral:lncRNA from 11 species
AAGUGAAGUCUUCUGACCCUCUUCACACACUGACAAGAUGGAUUUCCAUGCUGUGCAUCAUGGAAUAGCCUCCGUGGGACUCCCACAGUGUACAAAAAUGGUGAUUUCAGUUCUGCGAGGCCUUGGGUUGUUGUCUUGCUGUGCCAGAGAAACCAUCUCAUCAACUAUCCCUUCUCUGUGCCUUCAGCUAAAGAGCUGGUACCAAAUGUCCCUCUCCUGAGAGGUGGUGGCCUAGGAGCAGUCAUACUCUGCGAUGGGUCCAGAGGACAGCUGGACAGCUGCAUCCUGUCAGAGCUUGCCACGAAGAUCAAUGAAAGCCAGAGCUUAAUGCUUAAUGGUACAGAAAUACAUCUUGAUCAGCACUCCUAAUUACACUUGGC